rfam:Triticum aestivum genome assembly, contig: Triticum_aestivum_CS42_TGACv1_scaffold_641934_T_1AL-0.211206_2AL-0.135124
ACGACCUUACUUGAACAGGAUCUGUUCUAUAGGAUUGUACCGUUGCAUCCUUGACUAAUAAGGAGGCAAGCAGAACACUGUGUGCCAGAGCGUGAUUAACGGCUAGGAUCAGCUGCUAAUCUAUGGCUGUAGAUGAUCGUUCCUGUUCAGCCUAGCCUGACGCAGGGAGGCUCAUAGGUUGCCUGAA